GGUCUUACUCUGUUGCCCAGGCUGGAGUGUGGUGGCACAAUCAUGGCUUACUGCAGCCUUGACCUCCCUGGCUCAAGUGAUUCUCCCUUCUCAGCCUCCUGAGUAUCUGGGACUACAGGCAUGCACCACCAUACCCAGCUCGUUUUUGUAUUUUUUGUAGAGACAGGAUUUCACCAUGUUGCCCAGGCUGGACUUGAACUCCUGGACUCAAAGAAUCUUUCAGCCUCUGCCUCUCGAAGUGCUGGGGAUUAUGAUUAGAUUCUUGAAGAAUGAGUUCGUUUUCCAGGGUAAUAAGAAGAAGCACUACAGACUAGGAGACAGCAGUCAAGAAAAGGCAGAAAAAUGUGAAGUAACCAGGAGGCCAGGAUAUAUGCACAUACAACUUUUAAAGGCACCUUCUGUCCAUCGCUCUGUCAAGGGAAAGUGCUUUGAAUCAGUGGAUUUAUAAUAUUUUUGACAUCUAAUAAUGGAUGGAAAAAAAUGGAUGUUGGCAUCAUUUCUACCACAGCAACAAGAGCAAAGAUGGACUCCAGAAAGUCAAAACAUCAAGGAAUAUUUGCCAUUUCUUUAGGAAUCUCAUGAUUUUCCCUUUUUGGAACUUCUGUCAACAUGCUUCUGGAUGGUUCUUCUGCUACAUGUUGUGUCGGCUGGGGUUCCUCAGAGUCACGGAGAAGAGGAGACAGCGUGUGCAAGGGAAUGAAGAAAAGGACCAAGACUAUUUUCAAAUCACCCAUGGCACUACUAGAAAAGUAUUUCAGCAAAAAGACUGGCUGAUUUUAUGA
rnacentral:lncRNA from 1 species